rnacentral:rRNA from 1 species
GCAAGUCGAGCGAACGGAUGAAGUGCUUGCACUUCUGACGUUAGCGGCGAACGGGUGAGUAACACGUAAGGAAUCUACCUAUGAGCGGGGGAUAACAUUCGGAAACGGGUGCUAAUACCGCAUAAUAUCUUCUUCCGCAUGGAAGAAGAUUGAAAGACGGCUCUGCUGUCACUUAUAGAUGACCUUGCGGUGCAUUAGUUAGUUGGUGGGGUAACGGCCUACCAAGACGAUGAUGCAUAGCCGACCUGAGAGGGUGAUCGGCCACAUUGGGACUGAGACACGGCCCAAACUCCUACGGGAGGCAGCAGUAGGGAAUCUUCCGCAAUGGGCGAAAGCCUGACGGAGCAAUGCCGCGUGAGUGAAGAAGGCCUUCGGGUCGUAAAACUCUGUUAUAAGAGAAGAACAAAUUGUAGAGUAACUGCUACAGUCUUGACGGUAUCUUAUCAGAAAGCCACGGCUAACUACGUGCCAGCAGCCGCGGUAAUACGUAGGUGGCAAGCGUUGUCCGGAUUUAUUGGGCGUAAAGGGAGCGCAGGUGGUUUCUUAAGUCUGAUGUGAAAGCCCACGGCUUAACCGUGGAGGGUCAUUGGAAACUGGGAAACUUGAGUACAGAAGAGGAAUGUGGAACUCCAUGUGUAGCGGUGGAAUGCGUAGAUAUAUGGAAGAACACCAGUGGCGAAGGCGACAUUCUGGUCUGUUACUGACACUGAGGCUCGAAAGCGUGGGGGAGCAAACAGGAUUUAGAUA